rfam:Anaeromyxobacter dehalogenans 2CP-C, complete genome.
UACCCCCUGCCGGGCUCGUGAUUGGCCUUGCGUCGUUUGGGCCGACUUUGUCCAAAGCGGAGUGCCCGCCCACGUCCAUGAGCAAGCUCCCUGAAGCGAGGGAGAAGCCUACGGACGCUGGCGUACCGGGUGCCCCACCUGUAGAAAUACAGGUUCAAACAACCGGGCCACACGGCCCACGCGGGGGGCUU